AGUAAUGUAAGAAGAAUGUUGAAGCUGGUCUAUUUUAUUUGAGGAUUUCUUCACAUUUUAGGAUAUGAGAAGCCCAUCUUGAAAUGUUGUCCAAUUUUAUACCCAUAUUUUAAAACAACUGAAACAAACUCUACCGGGUCCAUAGAAAAGAAUUGAGAGAAUGAUCAAAGGACAAGAAACAAAGUCUGUGAAGAGAGCAUGAAUGAAAAUGCUAGACAUGUAUAUCCUUGAAAAAAAGCAGAGGGAAGAGGAGAAAGACAUUCUUCAAAUAAAACCAUGCAAAAGAAGAUCAAGACCUGUUCCCCAUCAUCCCAGAGUGCAGGUUAUAAAAUAAUAGAUUGAAAUUAUUGGAAUUAAACAUGAAGGCAGAUUCUGCUUUAAUAUUAAACUUUUUAACAGUAAGAUCGGUAAAAAGUCAAACUCCUAACCACAUAAGCUGUUAAUUUCCCUCUGACAAUGUACUCAAGAAGAGGAUAGAUUUUAAUUUUUUGGGAUUGUUUAAUCAUCGCCUGAGUCUUCCAGAGUGGGUGGCCAUAAUAAGUAGCUUUGAUGCUUCCACUGAACCAUAGGUUGUUCCUUUCCAACUUUCUAACUCCACUGUAGACUAGUGUGUUCUAUAAUCCAGCCAAUGACUUGAUUUCAGCUUGUACAGUACACUCAGCUCUGUUUCACUCCAUAUAAAGAUAAAUCAAACCAUCAGUUUGUAAAUGAUAGCACUUCUGGUCUUUUAAGCCCAUUCUUGCCAUCCAGCGAAGAAUGGCGGUUACUCAUUGACCACAUGUUUUUUGCUCUCAGGCCUGCAAAAAAGUACCAUUUUCUAUCACUCAUGACUAAUUGACUAGAUUCAUUUGUUGGGUCAUAACUGGUCCAAGUUUAAAAAAAAAUGUUUUCUGCUUAGUUUGAUUGUCCUGGUUCUCUUUUAGAUACUCUUCUAUGCUAUUAAAUAUACACUUAUCAAAAAGUCAUUUGGAUAUGAGGAUUGUUUCAGAGUUUUGUUGCAUCAUCUGGUUCAUUCAUGCACCAUCCAUUUUAAUAUCAAGUGAUUAUAAAAAUAUGUAGAACAAGCUACGGUACUUCAAAACUAAAAUAAAGUAUGGUCUUGUUCCACUUGA